AAGCACGACUCUGCAGAAGGAACAAAGCACCCUCCCCCUGGGCUCCUGGUUGCAGAGCUCCAAGUCCUCACACAGAUACACCUGUUUGAGAAGCAGCGGGCAAGAAAGACGCAAGCCCAGAGCUGCCUAAGCUUUAGCCAGCAUGUGCCUUUUGAUUGACAGGCCCUGCCAUUUCUGCGGGCUCAGGUCCCUACUGGCUCAGGCCCCUGCCUACCUCAGCAAGGCCACAAUGAACCAGGGAAUCCCUUUUAGGCACUUGCUUCUGGUGCUGCAACUCGUGCUACUCCCAGCAGCCACUCCGGGAAAGAAAGUGGUGCUGGGCAAAAAAGGGGAUACAGUGGAACUGACCUGUACAGCUUCCCAGAAGAAGAGCAUACAAUUCCACUGGAAAAACUCCAAUCAGACAAAGAUUCUGGGAAAUCAGGGCUCCUUCUUAACUAAAGGUCCAUCCAAGCUGAGCAAUCGCGCUGACUCAAGAAGAAGCCUUUGGGACCAAGGAAACUUUCCCCUGAUCAUCAAGAAUCUUAAGAUAGAAGACUCAGAUACUUACAUCUGUGAAG
rnacentral:sRNA from 1 species